AGAAUUUUAAGUUAUAUAAACUAAAGGCCUUCAAAGCCUAAAAAAAAAGAAAUCUUUUAAAUUCUA
rnacentral:tRNA from 1 species